rnacentral:rRNA from 1 species
UACGUAGGCAGCAAGCGUUGUUCGGAGUUACUGGGCGUAAAGGGUGUGUAGGCGGUUUUCUAAGUCUGGGGUGAAAUCUCCCGGCUCAACUGGGAGGGUGCGCCGAAAACUGGAAGGCUAGAGUGCGGGAUGGGAGAGUGGAAUUCCUGGUGUAGCGGUGAAAUGCGUAGAUAUCAGGAGGAACACCGAUGGCGAAGGCAAUCCCCUGGGCCUGCACUGACGCUCAUGCACGAAAGCGUGGGGAGCAAACAGG